rnacentral:misc_RNA from 1 species
GAUGAAGAACGUAGCGAAAUGCGAUACUUGGUGUGAAUUGCAGAAUCCCGUGAACCAUCGAGUCUUUGAACGCAAGUUGCGCCCGAAGCCAUUAGGCCGAGGGCACACCUGCCUGGGCGUCACACGUCGUUGCCCCCCCAUCUACUCCUUCGGGAUUGCGGGGGGCGGAUGAUGGCCUCCCGUGCGCCUCGCCGCGCGGUUGGCAUAAAUGCCAAGUCCUCGGCGACGCACGCCACGACAAUCGGUGGUUGCGAAACCUCGGUUGCCCGUCGUGUGCGGUCGUCGCGCAUCGAGGGCUCGAAAAAAUUGCCGGGUUCCGGCUCGGCUUUCAACGCGACCCCAGGUCAGGCGGGGUUACCCGCUGAAUUUAAGCAUAUCAAUAAGCGGAGGA